GACGAACCGUGCGAACGUUGUUCGGAAUCACUGGGCUUAAAGGGCGCGUAGGCGGUCUGCCCAGUCCGGGGUGAAAGCCCCCAGCUCAACUGGGGAAGUGCCUUGGAUACUGGUGGACUCGAGCGAGGCAGGGGUCGUGGGAACUUCCGGUGGAGCGGUGAAAUGCGUUGAUAUCGGAAGGAACGCCGGUGGCGAAAGCGCACGACUGGUCCUCUUCUGACGCUGAGGCGCGAAAGCCAGGGGAGCAAACGGG
rnacentral:rRNA from 1 species